GAUGAAGAACGUAGCGAAAUGCGAUAAGUAAUGUGAAUUGCAGAAUUCAGUGAAUCAUCGAAUCUUUGAACGCACAUUGCGCCCGUCAGUAUUCUGGCGGGGAUGCCUGUUCGAGCGUCAUUACGCCCCUCAAGUCCCCUGUGGACUUGGUGUUGGGGAUCGGCGAGGCUGGUUUUCCAGCACAGCCGUCCCUUAAAUUAAUUGGCGGUCUCGCCGUGGCCCUCCUCUGCGCAGUAGUAAAACACUCGCAACAGGAGCCCGGCGCGGUCCACUGCCGUAAAACCCCCCAACUUUUUAUAGUUGACCUCGAAUCAGGUAGGACUACCCGCUGAACUUAAGCAUAUCAAUAAGCGGAGGA
rnacentral:misc_RNA from 1 species